rnacentral:tRNA from 1 species
GGGCCAUUAGCUCAGCUGGUAGAGCACCUGACUUUUAAUCAGGGUGUCGUUGGUUCGAGUCCAACAUGGCUCACCA